rnacentral:rRNA from 1 species
UACGUAGGGCGCGAGCGUUGUCCGGAAUUAUUGGGCGUAAAGAGCUCGUAGGCGGCUUGUUGCGUCUGCUGUGAAAACCUAGGGCUUAACUCUGGGCGUGCAGUGGGUACGGGCAGGCUAGAGUGCGGUAGGGGAGACUGGAAUUCCUGGUGUAGCGGUGAAAUGCGCAGAUAUCAGGAGGAACACCGGUGGCGAAGGCGGGUCUCUGGGCCGUAACUGACGCUGAGGAGCGAAAGCAUGGGGAGCGAACAGG